rnacentral:rRNA from 1 species
UACGUAGGGUGCAGGCGUUAAUCGGAAUUACUGGGCGUAAAGCGUGCGCAGGCGGUCUUUUAAGUCAGAUGUGAAAUCCCCGGGCUUAACCUGGGAACUGCGUUUUAAACUGGAAGGCUUGAGUGUGGCAGAGGGGGGUGGAAUUCCACGUGUAGCAGUGAAAUGCGUAGAGAUGUGGAGGAACACCGAUGGCGAAGGCAGCCCCCUGGGCUAACACUGACGCUCAUGCACGAAAGCGUGGGGAGCAAACAGG